GUCUCCGUAGCGCAAUGGAUAGCGCGUUGGAUUUCUCAUCUAAAUGGCGUGGUUCCGAAUCCCACCUGAGAUG